AGCCUCUACGCAUUUUAAAUAUUACUUAUGCAAUUUAUAGUAAUCUAAUUCUAGUGCAGUGUGCUUAAGGAAUCCUUGAUGAGGCCUGGUUCCACCGAUGCUCACACUCAGCCUUUUCCUACGUGCAGGUGGCACGCGUGGCCUUGACAGUCUCCUCCAUCUUAACCACAGUGCGAUGGCUCACUUGUGUGUUAAAGAAAUUGUAGGUCCCUCCUUUCAGCCGGCUCCAGAGUAAUCCUUAGGAAAUACUGGUGUUUACCGAAAGAAGAAAUAAACUACUGGUAUUGCGCAUAUAUUUAUCCUAUUUCUGCCAGUC
rnacentral:lncRNA from 1 species